rnacentral:rRNA from 1 species
UACGUAGGGGGCAAGCGUUGUCCGGAAUGACUGGGCGUAAAGGGCGUGUAGGCGGCGAUCUAAGUUAGGAGUGAAAGUCCAGCUUUUAAGGUUGGAAUUGCUUUUAAUACUGGAUGGCUUGAGUGCGGAAGAGGUAAGUGGAAUUCCCAGUGUAGCGGUGAAAUGCGUAGAGAUUGGGAGGAACACCAGUGGCGAAGGCGACUUACUGGGCCGUAACUGACGCUGAGGCGCGAAAGCGUGGGGAGCGAACAGG